GACGAACGCUGGCGGCGUGCUUAACACAUGCAAGUCGAACGGAAAGGCCCUGCUUUUGUGGGGUGCUCGAGUGGCGAACGGGUGAGUAACACGUGAGUAACCUGCCCUUGACUUUGGGAUAACUUCAGGAAACUGGGGCUAAUACCUGAUAGGAGCUCCUGCUGCAUGGUGGGGUUUGGAAAGUUUCGGCGGUUGGGGAUGGACUCGCGGCUUAUCAGCUUGUUGGUGGGGUAGUGGCUUACCAAGGCUUUGACGGGUAGCCGGCCUGAGAGGGUGACCGGCCACAUUGGGACUGAGAUACGGACCAGACUCCUACGGGAGGCAGCAGUGGGGAAUAUUGCACAAUGGGCGGAAGCCUGAUGCAGCAACGCCGCGUGCGGGAUGACGGCCUUCGGGUUGUAAACCGCUUUCGCCUGUGACGAAGCGUGAGUGACGGUAAUGGGUAAAGAAGCACCGGCUAACUACGUG
rnacentral:rRNA from 1 species